CCUACGGGUGGCAGCAGUGAGGAAUAGUGGUCAAUGGACGGAAGUCUGAACCAGCCAUGCCGCGUGCAGGAUGACGGCUCUAUGAGUUGUAAACUGCUUUUGUACGAGAAUAAAAGUUCGUACGUGUAGGGAUUUGAAUGUAGCGUACGAAUAAGGAUCGGCUAACUCCGUGCCAGCAGCCGCGGUAAUACGGAGGAUUCGAGCGUUAUCCGGAUUUAUUGGGUUGAACGGGUGCGUAGGCUGGCGGAUAAGUUAGAGGUCAAAUGUCGGGGCUUAACCCCGUGCCUGCCUCUGAUACUGUUCGCCUAGUGCGCGGAUGCAGCAGGCGGAAUGCGUAUUGUAGCGGU
rnacentral:rRNA from 1 species